UCAGGCGGUUGAGACUGCCGAAAUCAAAGUCGGCCAGCAAGCUAUGAUACGGAAGCCUAUCGAGGCCCUAUUUGGAGCUUUCAAGGACGGUUGGACAUAUGUGACUGUGAGCACAGGAGCUAA